GGUUGGAGGACAGGCCAAUCGCUCCCAGCUAUUUGAGCCAAUGGAGAAGUUCCUGAUGCCCACACCUGCUGGUCUCACCGCUAGGGCCUGGGCAUCACAGGCAGGGGGAAUGGGGAGGGGACGGUAGCGUCAGCCUACACCCACACGCAGAAGCUGACAAUGACUGUUGGGCUUUUCCAAUGAAUACCAGAACACCAUUUCCUGCAGCCUGAAAAGAAGACAGUAUAAUUGUUUGGCAGCAAGAGGCCAAGCAGGAAACUAGAGAUAUGGUGACGGUAGUGGUCCCAGGGAGGAGCUUUAACCUGAGCACCACCCACAGAAGGCAGACCACCCUCCCAGCCGCAGUGCAAAUGAAUGUUGGCCCCCACCCAGGUCCCCAAGUGCUUUCCCAGUCACGCCCCAGCUGCCAGGUUUUUUUCUCCAGGCCUACUACAGAUGGGUUACCCUGACUCCACCCCCAACACCCUCCAAUGAUUAGAACCACUGACUCCUCCCUCCCAUGCCUGCCUCCAUGGCAGGCCCCUGCAGAAACCAAACAUAGUCACCUUAGACUCUGGCAUACUGAGACCAGGGCUUGAUCCUGGCCCCCUUGCCUCCCUGGCAAUUUAUCAUUUAAUAAAAAUAUUGUUAAAAAAUAUU
rnacentral:lncRNA from 1 species